UACGUAGGAUCCAAGCGUUGUCCGGAUUUACUGGGUGUAAAGGGUGCGCAGGCGGACUUAUAAGUCAGAGGUGAAAUCUCACUGCUCAACAGUGAAACUGCCUUUGAUACUGUAGGUCUUGAAUUAGGGAGAGAUUCGUGGAAUUCCGAGUGUAGCAGUGAAAUGUGUAGAUAUUCGGAAGAACACCAGUGGCGAAGGCAAGCGAAUUGGCCCUAUAUUGACGCUCAGGCACGAAAGCAUGGGGAUCAAACAGG
rnacentral:rRNA from 1 species